UUCGCAAUGCCCGAAAGGGUGACGAAGCGACGCCGCGUGUGGGAAGAAGGCCUUCGGGUUGUAAACCACUGUCGGGAGUUAAGAAAUGCAAGGAUAUGAAUAGUGUCUUUGCUUGACUAAGGCUCCGGAGGAAGCCACGGCUAACUCUGUGCCAGCAGCCGCGGUAAUACAGAGGCGGCAAGCGUUGUUCGGAAUUAUUGGGCGUAAAGAGCACGUAGGCGGCUAUGAAAGUCGGUUGUGAAAGCCUUCCGCUCAACGGGAGAACAGCAUCCGAUACUACAUGGCUUGAGUGCGGGAGGGGAGAGCGGAACUUCUGGUGGAGCGGUGAAAUGCGUAGAUAUCAGAAGGAACGCCGGCGGCGAAAGCGGCUCUCUGGCCCAUAACUGACGCUGAGUGUGCGAAAGCUAGGGGAGCAAACGGGAUUAGAUACCCCGGUAGUCCUAGCCCUAAACGAUGGGCACUAAGUAGAGGGGUUUU
rnacentral:rRNA from 1 species